UUUCAAGGUGACUGCAUAGCUAAGAC
rnacentral:piRNA from 1 species